rnacentral:ncRNA from 1 species
CGGCACUCUGGAGACGCCCGCAGAGCGCGGGGGCCGAAGGUGAAAGCGCGACAGGGGAUCGCCCUGGCAUGCGCGAAUCUCUCAGGCAAAAGGACAGAGCG